rnacentral:rRNA from 1 species
UCUGAUACUCAUACUUGUUAAUGCCUAAUCUUGUUUGAUCUCAGAAGUUAAGCAAGGUCAACCCUGGUUAGUACUUGGAUGGGAGAUCGCUGGAAGUACUAGUCUGUCUUAAAA